UUAAAUUUUUAUGGGCCUAUGUGGGAUUGUUUGGAACUUAGAGACGAUGAAGGGCGUUGUUACUGACGAUAUGCUUUGGGGAGUUAGAAACAAACUUUGAUCCAAAGAUUCCCGAAUGGGGAAACCCAAUAAACGUAUAUGAAAUACAUACAUAUAUGUAGUAAACUUGGUGAACUGAAACAUCUUAGUAGCCAAUGGAAAAGAAAGCAAAUGCGAUUUUCUGAUUAGUGGUGAGCUAAAAGAAAAUAGCCUAAACCUUUUUAGGUGUAGUGGGUUAGUUUUUGAUUUUUUCUUUUAAUUUUGAAAUUGUUGAUAGCAAUACUAAAAAAGGUUGGGAGUCCUGUAAUUUUUAAAAGAAAAAAUAUUUCUAUACCCAAGUAGCAUAAAGCACGUGAGAUUUUAUGUGAAUCAGCGAGAACCAUCUCGUAAGGCUAAAUACUCCUAAGUUACCGAUAGUGAAUAGUACUGUGAAGGAAAUCUGAAAAGAACCCUUAAAAGGGAGUGAAAUAGAUUAUGAAAGCAUAGGCUUACAUGCAGUAGGAGGACUAUUUGAAGUCUGACUGCGUGCCUGUUGAAGAAUGAGCCGGCGACUUAUUGAUAAUGGCAUGGUUAAAAUUUUAUGAAUUGAAGCCAGAGUGAAAACGAGUUUGAAUAAAGCGAUAUUGUCAUUAUUUAUAGACCCGAACCCAGGUGAUCUACCCAUGAGCAGGAUGAAGCGUGGGUAAUUCCAUGUGGAGGUCCGAACCCACCAAUGUUGAAAAAUUGGGGGAUGACUUGUGGGUAGGGGAGAAAUUCCAAUCGAACUUGGAGCUAGCUGGAUCUCUUCGAAAUGCGUUGAGGCGCAGCGAUUAAUCAUGAUCUAUUCAGGGGUAAAGCACUAUUUCGAUGCGAGCUGCGAAAGCGGUAUCAAGUUGUAGUAAACUCAGAAUACUGAAUAAUGUUUUCGAUUAGUCAGUGAGACUGUGGGGGAUAAGCUUCAUAGUCAAGAGGGUAAUAGCCCAGACCACCAGUUAAGGCCCCAAAAUAACUACUAAGUGAUAAAGGAUGUAUUGGUACGUAGACAACCAGGAGGUUUGCUUAGAAGCAGCAAUUCCUUUAAAAAUAGCGUAAUAGCUUACUGGUCAAGUGCCUUUGCGCCGAUAAUGAACGGGGCUAAGUAGUUUGCCGAAACUGUGGGUAAAAACGGUAGAAGAGCGUUCUGUAUAGAUUGAAGUAAUAGCGAAAGCAAUUAUGGACUUAACAGAAGUGAGAAUGUCGGCUUAAGUAACGAAAACAUUGGUGAGAAUCCAAUGCUCCGAAAACCCAAGGUUUCCUCCGCAAGGUUCGUCCUCGGAGGGUUAGUCAGGUCCUAAGAUCAGGCCUAAAGGCGUAGUCGAUGGUUAACAGGUUGAUAUUCCUGUACUACAUUAAAUCUGCUUACGGAUAACGAAGGAGGCUAAACUUACCAGAUUUUGGUUGUUCUGGUCUAAAUUAUUGAGGUGUUGAGAAGGAUUAAAUAAAAAAUUCUUUGAGCCAAGAUGUGAAUGGUAGAGUGCUAUGGCAUUUGAAAAGUUAACGUCAUACUUCCUAGAAAAAUCCUUGUAAUGUUUAUUUUUUAUGUACCUGUACCGUAAACUGACACAGGUGGGUGGGUAGAGUAUACUAAGGAGCGCGAGCUAACUCUUUUUAAGGAACUCGGCAAAAUAGUCUUGUAACUUCGGGAGAAAAGAUGCCUUGUUUUAUAACAAGGUCGCAGUGACCAGAUCUAGGCGACUGUUUACCAAAAACACAGGUCUCAGCAAAGUCGAAAGACGAAGUAUUGGGGCUGACGCCUGCCCAGUGCUAGAAGGUUAAAGAAACCGGUUAGCUUUUGCAAAGCUGGUGACUGAAGCCCUAGUGAACGGCAGCAAUAACUAUGAUUGUUCUAUGGUAGCGAAAUUCCUUGUCGGGUAAGUUCCGACCCGCACGAAAGGCGUAACGAUCUAGAAACUGUCUCAAAAAGAGGCUCGGUGAAAUAGAAUUAACUGUGAAGAUGCGGUUAACUUGCACUUGGACAGAAAGACCCUAUGAAGCUUUACUGUAACCUGAUAUUGAUUUUGGACUUUUUUUGCGCAGCAUAGGUGGGAGGCUAUGAUGCUUUCUUUCGGGAAAGUUGAGCCAUCAGUGAGAUACCACUCUGAAAAAGUUAGAAAUCUAAUGACAUUGCUUAUAACAGAAUGUUUGACAUUGUCAGGCGGGCAGUUUUACUGGGGCGGUAGCCUCCUAAAAGGUAACGGAGGCGUACAAAGGUUUUCUCAGACUGGACGGAAAUUUGUUGCAGAGUGUAAAGGCAAAAGAAAGCUUAACUGUUAGACUUACAAGUCAAGCAGAGACGAAAGUCGGUCUUAGUGAUCCGACGGUUCCGAAUGUAAGGGCCGUCGCUUAACGGAUAAAAGUUACUCUAGGGAUAACAGGCUGAUCUCCUCCAAGAGUUCACAUCGACGAGGAGGUUUGGCACCUCGAUGUCGGCUCAUCGCAACCUGGAGCGGUAGUACGUUCCAAGGGUCGGGCUGUUCGCCCGUUAAAGCGGUACGUGAGCUGGGUUCAGAACGUCGAGAGACAGUUCGGUCCAUAUCCGGUGUGAGCGUUAGAAUAUUGAGGUAAGAUUUUUCUAGUACGAGAGGACCGAAAAAUACACACCGCUGGUGUACCAGUUCUUAUACCAAUGAGAAAUGCUGGGUAGUCAUGUGUGGAGAGAAUAACUGCUGAAAGCAUAUAAGUAGGAAGUCCAUACCAAGAUGAGUAUUCUUCUAAUUUUUAGUAAGAUCAUAGCUAGACUAGCUGUAUAAUAGGUAUCAAGUGUAUAUUUAGUAAUAAAUGUUAGCUGAGAUAUACUAAUAGAUCGAUUAUUUUUUCUU
rnacentral:rRNA from 1 species